rnacentral:rRNA from 1 species
GAUGAACGCUAGCUACAGGCUUAACACAUGCAAGUCGAGGGACCGGCGUACGGGUGAGUAACGCGUAUCCAACCUUCCCCUUACUGUGGGAUAACCUGCCGAAAGGCAGACUAAUACCGCCUAGUAAUGGAUGGGGUUGCGUCUGAUUGGCUUGUUGGCGGGGUAACGGCCCACCAAGGCGACGAUCAGUAGGGGUUCUGAGAGGAAGGGCCCCGACAUUGGAACUGAGGCACAGUCCAAACGCCUACGGGAGGCAGGAGUAAGGGAUAUAAGGCAGUAGACGGAAGUCUGAACCAGCCAAGUAGCGGGCAGGAUGACGGGCUUUGAAUUGAAUGCUGCUUUUGUAUGGGGAUAGGUACCAUAUGAAUAAGGACCGGCUAAUUCCGUGCCAGCAGCCGCGGUAAUUC